UGGGGAAUAUUGCACAAUGGGCGCAAGCCUUAUGCAGCCAUGCCGCGUGUAUGAAGAAGGCCUUCGGGUUGUAAAGUACUUUCAGUCGGGAGGAAGGUGGUAAGGUUAAUAACCUUAUCAAUUGACGUUACCGACAGAAGAAGCACCGGCUAACUCCGUGCCAGCAGCCGCGGUAAUACGGAGGGUGCAAGCGUUAAUCGGAAUUACUGGGCGUAAAGCGCACGCAGGCGGUUGAUUGAGUCAGAUGUGAAAUCCCCGGGCUUAACCCGGGAAUUGCAUCUGAUACUGGUCAGCUAGAGUCUUGUAGAGGGGGGUAGAAUUCCAUGUGUAGCGGUGAAAUGCGUAGAGAUGUGGAGGAAUACCGGUGGCGAAGGCGGCCCCCUGGACAAAGACUGACGCUCAGGUGCGAAAGCGUGGGGAGCAAACAGG
rnacentral:rRNA from 1 species